CAGCAGUCGCCACGGUAAUACGAAGGGUGCAAGCGUUAAUCGGAAUUACUGGGCGUAAAGCGUGCGUAGGCGGUGAGUUAAGUCUGCUGUGAAAUCCCCGGGCUCAACCUGGGAAUGGCAGUGGAUACUGGCUCGCUAGAGUGUGUCAGAGGAUGGUGGAAUUCCCGGCGUAGCGGUGAAAUUCGUAGAUAUUCGGAAGAACACCAGUGGCGAAGGCGGCUUACUGGCUCAUACUGGACACUGAGGUGCGAAAGCGUGGGGAGCAAACAGGAUUAGAUACCCCAGUAGUCCCUGUCUCUUAUAC
rnacentral:rRNA from 1 species